rnacentral:ncRNA from 2 species
UGUAUUCUUCGGGGCAGGGUGUAAUUCCCGACCGGCGGUGACAAGUCAUCAGAACUUGAAGUCCGUGACCCGCUUUUAUGCGGUGGAUCUAGUGAGAAUCUAGAGCCGACAGUAAUAGUCUGGAUGGGAGAAGAAUAGC